rnacentral:rRNA from 1 species
AAUAUUGGACAAUGGGCGCAAGCCUGAUCCAGCCAUGCCGCGUGUGUGAAGAAGGCCUUCGGGUUGUAAAGCACUUUUGUCCGGAAAGAAAGCGAAUCGGCGAAUACCCGGUUUGGAUGACGGUACCGAAAGAAUAAGCACCGGCUAACUUCGUGCCAGCAGCUUCGGUAAGACGAAGGGGGCUAGCGUUGUUCGGAAUUACUGGGCGUAAAGCGCGUGUAGGCGGUUGUCAAAGUCGGGUGUGAAAGCCUUGAGCUCAACUCAAGAAAUGCACUCGAUACUGGGCGACUAGAGGACCGGAGAGGAUAGUGGAAUUCCCAGUGUAGUGGUGAAAUACGUAGAGAUUGGGAAGAACACCAGUGGCGAAGGCGGCUAUCUGGACGGUUACUGACGCUAAGACGCGAAAGCGUAGGGAGCAAACA